rnacentral:rRNA from 1 species
CCUACGGGUGACUGCAGUAGGGAAUCUUCCACAAUGGGCGAAAGCCUGAUGGAGCAACGCCGCGUGGGUGAAGAAGGUCUUCGGAUCGUAAAACCCUGUUGUUAGAGAAGAAAGUGCGUGCGAGUAACUGUUCCCGUUUCGACGGUAUCUAACCAGAAAGCCACGGCUAACUACGGGCCAGCAGCCGCGGUAAUACGUAGGUGGCAAGCGUUAUCCGGAUUUAUUGGGCGUAAAGGGAACGCAGGCGGUCUUUUAAGUCUGAUGUGAAAGCCUUCGGCUUAACCGGAGGAGUGCAUUGGAAACUGGGAGACUGGAGUGCAGAAGAGGAGAGUGGAACUGCAUGUGUAGCGGUGAAAGGCGUAGAUAUAUGGAAGAACACCAGUGGCGAAAGCGGCUCUCUGGUCUGUAACUGACGCUGAGGUUCGAAAGCGUGGGUAGCAAACAGGAUUAGAUACCCCUGUAGUC